AUGAAAAUUUUCAGUUCGAACUGUCGAGGGCUGGGACAACCUCGUACGGUUCAGGAGCUUGUGUGUCUGACUAAGACGCACCAUCCCAAUGUUAUCUUUCUUUCGGAAACUAGGAAAAAUAAAGAGUAUGUUGAGCUUUUGCGGUACCAGUUGGGUAUGAAUAAUGUGUUUAUUGUUUCUGGCCAUGGUAAAGGUGGAGGUCUAGUCGUGUUUUGGGAUGGAGCAUAUUCUUGUGAGCUGAACAAAUAUGGUGAACAUUUUGUGGACAUGUACGUCAACAAGGGUGAUUGUCGUGGAAUUGUCACGACAGAUGUCCUAGUGAAAGGACUUUGUUGUGGAGCCAUGGCGACGAGGUUAGCUUAA
rnacentral:rRNA from 1 species